UUAAAUCAUCGGUUCUCGUACGAUCACCGAAGUUAAGCAACGUCGAGCAUGGUCAGUACGUACAUGAAUGACUGCUUGGGAAUAUCAGGUGCUGUAAG